rnacentral:misc_RNA from 1 species
AACCUUAUGGACCUGCGGGCGUAUACCUGCGGAGGGAUCAUUAUCGAAUAAAUCUGGCGUGGUUGUAGCUGGCUUCUAGGAGCAUGUGCACACCCGUCACCUUUAUCUUUCCACCUGUGAACCCUUUGUAGUCUCAGGAUAACACUCGCACUCGUGCGGAUGCGAAGGUUGUUGUGCCUCACUGAGGUCGACUUCCCUCGAAUUUCCUGGGUCUAUGUCUCUUUACACACCCCUGUAUGU